AUGGUCCAUGGUCAGUGUCAAUGUGAAAUUUGGGCCUGGACAAUAGUGUUAUUGUGUUUUCUUCGUCCUUUUAGCAGAUUGGCAAUAAAAAUAGCCAUCCACAGUUGUUGUGGCAAAAAGCUACUUAAGUUCUUCAUUCUCCUCCGGACAAAUAAUAUGGGGUCGGAACAACAUGAGGACCCGGUUGCUCGUUUUUCUUCCAAGAUCUGGCAACACAGAUUUUAGAGGCCGUGAAGGAGAGACAAUGCAGAAGUCGUGUCCUGUCCCUUGAGAGGGACAUUUUUGUGCUGCCUGUGCAUCCCAUAAGAGUCUGAUGCUCUGAAUUAUUGAGAGGAAGACCUAGGCAAUCCAUCACAAGAGAGGAUACAUGUAGACGCCUGUCAUAGCCGGUGGAAGUGGGUGGGGGACGCAUGAAGAGUCACCUCACGGCUCAUCAACACGUUAUUGAGAAACAUCUUCACUCCCUUCUUUUGGCAGGGCCAGGAACCAUCAACAUCGACCCCUCUGAUUGAAAUUACUCAAACUAUUCAUAGAUUCUCAGUGAAUGGGUGCCGUCAGAAUGAGAGUCCAAACAGUGGAUAAAAACAUCACAAUAAUCCACAAGUAAUCCACACCACUCCAGUCAGUUAAUGUCUUGUGAAAUGAAAAGCUGAGUGUUUAUAAGAAACAAAUCCAUCAUUCAAACGUUUUAACUUCAAACCAGUGUUUCCAGAGAAGACUGAGUCAUCUCGUCUGAAUCAGGAGAGAAAUAUGUACAGAUCAAGCACCAUUUAUAAGUAAAAACCACAGUCAAAACCAAUUCUAAACGAGUAUGUCAGUGGAUUUUGAUGUGAGAAAACAACAGGGGAGGGACUUUUUCACUGGAGGAAGCAUUAUUAUGGAUUAUGGACAUUUUUGACCAGAAGCAAUGGUUUGAAGUUCAAACACUUUAAUUAUGGAUUUGUUUUAUAAACACACAGUUUUUCACCGCACAAGACAGUAAUUGAUGCACUGGAAUCACUGGACUAUUGAUUUUUUUAUCAGCUGUUUGGACUCUCAUUCUGACGGCACCCAUUCACUACAGAGGAUCCAUUGGUGAGCCAGAUUUCUCCAAAUCUGUUUCCAUUAAGAAAAAAACUCAUCUACAUCUUGGAUGGUCUGAGGGUCUGAGUACAUUUCCACCAAAUUUUCAUUUUUGUAUGAACCAUUCCUUGCAGGCACAAAAUGUAAUGUUUUUGUCACACCACAUUGCUACUUGUUUAAAAAAAAUAAAAAUAAAAAUAAAAUUGUAGAUGGAAAAAGU
ensembl:lncRNA